rnacentral:rRNA from 1 species
AAGUCAGAGGUGAAAUCCCACAGCUCAACUGUGGAACUGCCUUUGAUACUGUUAGACUUGAGUUGAGUGAAGUGGUUAGAAUGUGUAGUGUAGCGGUGAAAUGCAUAGAUAUUACAAAGAAUACCGAUUGCGAAGGCAGAUCACUAACUCUAUACUGACGCUCAUGAACGAAAGCGUGGGGAGCGAACAGGAUUAGAUACCCUGGUAGUCCACGCCGUAAACGAUGGAUACUAGAUGUGGGGAUUUCUAUUUCUGGGUGACAGGAAAAGCGAAAAUGACACCGCCUGGGGAGUACGGCCGC